rnacentral:lncRNA from 1 species
GCCCUUGUAGAGGUUCUUCAUGAGGGAUCCAGUCCUGCAGCAGACUUCUGCCUGGACAUCCGGGUGUUUCCAUACAUCCUCUGAAAUCUAGGCAGAGGCUCCCAAGUCUCAACUCUUGCCCUUUGCAUACCCACAGGCCCAACACCAUAGGGAAGCCAUCAAGACUUGGGGCUUACACCCUCUGAAGCAAUGACCUGAGCUGUACUGUGGCCCCUUUUAGCCAUGGCUGAAACGGGAGCAGCUGGGAUGCAGGGCACCAUGUCCCAAGGCUGCACAGAGCAGUAAGGCCCUGGACCUGGCCCACGAAACCAUUUCUCCCUCCUAGGCCUCUGGGCCUGUAAUAGGAAGGGCUGCUAUGAAGGUCUCUGAAAUGUCUUAGAGGGAUUUUCCCCAUUGUCUUGGCUAUUAAUAUUUGGCUCCUUUUUACUUAUGUAAAUUUCUGCAGCUGGCUUGAAUUACUUCCCAGAAAAUAGGUUUUUCUUUUCUACUACAUGGCAGGUUGAAAAUUUUCCAAGCUUUUAUACUCUGCUUUCCUUUUAAAUAUAAGUUCCAAUAUCAAACCACCUCUUCGGAAAUGCAUAUGAGCAUAUGCUGUUAGAAGCAGCCAGGUCACUUCUUGAAUGCUUUGCUGCUUUGAAAUUUCUUCCACCAGAUACUCUAAAUAAUCUCUCUCAAGUUCAAAGUUUCACAGAUCCCUAGAGCAGGGGCACAAUGCCACCAGUCUCUUUGCUGAAGCAUAGCAAGAAUGACCUUUACUCCAGUUCCCAAUAAGUUCCUCAUCUCCCUCUAAGACCUCCUUGGCCUGGACUUCAUUGUCCAUAUCUCACUAUCAGUAUUUUGGUCAAAGCCAUUCAACAAGUCUCUAGGAAGUUCCAAACUUUCCCUUAUCUUCUUGUCUUCUUCUGAGCCUUCCAAACUGUUCCAACCUCUGCCCAUCCAAAGCUGCUUCCACAUUUUCAGGUAUCUUUUGUAGCAAUGCCCCACUUCUCUGAUACCAAUUUCCUAUAUUAGUCCAUUCUCACACUGCUAUAAAGAACUAUCUGAGACUGGGUAAUCUAUGAAGAAAAGAGGUUUAAUUGACUCACAAUUCUGCAGGCUGUACAGGAGGCAUGGCUGGGGAGGCCUCAGAAAACUUACAAUCAUGGCAGAAGGUGAAGGGGAAGCCAGCACAUCUUCAUAUGAUGGCAGGAACUUUAUAUGUUAUAGAAGUUAGCCCCAAGAAUGAAAUCGUGUCCUUUGCCAAAACAUGGAUGGAGCUAGAGGCCUUUAUCCUAAGUGAGUUAACGCAGGAACAGAAAGCCAAAUAGUGCAUGUUCUCACUGAUAAGUGGGAGCUAAACUAUGGGUUCACAAAGGCAUGCAGAGUGGUACUGUGGACAUUGGAGACUCAGAAUGGGGGAGGCUAGGAGGGAGGUAAGGGAUGAAAAAGUACCUGUUGGGUACAAUGUACACUACUUGGGUGACGAUGGGUCCACUAAAAUCCCAGAUUUAACCACUGUACAAUUCAUCCAUGUAACCAAAACCCACCUGUACCCCAAUGCUAUGAAAAUAAAUAAAACCAAAUUAGCUCUGUUUCUGUUAGAUGAGAUGCAAAUAUUUUCCCAAGUUUGUCCUUUGUCUUUUGACUUUGUUUAUGGUGUUUCACUCAUGCAGAUGUUUUUUAUUUUCAUGUUUUUAACUUGUC